UGGGGAAUAUUGGACAAUGGGCGCAAGCCUGAUCCAGCCAUGCCGCGUGAGUGAUGAAGGCCCUAGGGUUGUAAAGCUCUUUCACCGGUGAAGAUAAUGACGGUAACCGGAGAAGAAGCCCCGGCUAACUUCGUGCCAGCAGCCGCGGUAAUACGAAGGGGGCUAGCGUUGUUCGGAUUUACUGGGCGUAAAGCGCACGUAGGCGGACUAUUAAGUCAGGGGUGAAAUCCCGGGGCUCAACCCCGGAACUGCCUUUGAUACUGGUAGUCUUGAGUUCGAGAGGGGUGAGUGGAAUUCCGGGUGUAGAGGUGAAAUUCGUAGAUAUUCGGAGGAACACCAGUGGCGAAGGCGGCUCACUGGCUCGAUACUGACGCUGAGGUGCGAAAGCGGGGGGAGCAAACAGG
rnacentral:rRNA from 1 species